rnacentral:rRNA from 1 species
GACGAACGCUGGCGGCGUGCUUAACACAUGCAAGUCGAACGAAGUGGCGGACGGGUGAGUAACGCGUAAUAAACCUGCACAUCAGAGGGGGACAACAGUUGGAAACGAAUGCUAAUACCGCAUACGGAAGGAGGGGAUGGCGUGUGAGUGGCUAGUUGGAGGGGCAACGGCCUACCAGGGCGAUGGUCAGUAGCCGGUCUGAGAGGGUGGACGGCCACACUGGGACUGAGACCCGGCCCAGACUCCUUCGGGAAGCCGCAGUGGGGAAUCUUCCGCAAUGGACGAAAAGCUGACGGAGCAACGCCGCCUGAGUGGUUGCGGCCUUCGGGUUGUAAAGCUCUGUUAAUCGGGACGCGGUACCGGAAUAGAAAGCCACGGCUAACUACGUGCCAGCAGCCGCGGUAAUUC